rnacentral:rRNA from 1 species
GACAGAGGGUGCAAACGUUGUUCGGAAUCACUGGGCGUAAAGCGCGUGUAGGCGGCUUGGUAAGUCGGGUGUGAAAUCCCAGGGCUCAACCCUGGAAGUGCAUUCGAAACUGCUCGGCUAGAGUUCUGGAGAGGAAGGUGGAAUGCUUGGUGUAGAGGUGAAAUUCGUAGAUAUCAAGCGGAACACCGGUGGCGAAGGCG